rnacentral:tRNA from 1 species
GGGGCUGUAGCUCAGUUGGGAGAGCAUUUCGUUCGCAACGAAGGGGUCGGGGGUUCGACUCCCCCCAGCUCCA